CAAUAGCGUAUACUAAAGUUGUUGCAGUUAAAAGCUCGUAGUUGGAUUUCUGUGCACCGGUUGUUGGUCCGCCUCUAUGAGGUGGGUCCUUCACCGUUGUACAUCCUGUUGGCAGACACGUGCUGGCAUUCAUUUGUCGGUGCGGGGAGACCACUCGUUUACUUUGAGAAAAUUAAAGUGUUCAAAGCAGGCGCUCGCUUGAAUACAUUAGCAUGGAAUAAUAGUAUAGGACUUUGAUCUUAUUUGUUGGUUUUAAAGAUCAAAGUAAUGAUUGAUAGGGACAGUUGGGGGCAUCAGUAUUCUGAAGCGAGAGGUGAAAUUCUUGGACCUUCGGAAGACUAACAACUGCGAAAGCAUUUGCCAAGGAUGUUCUCUUUAAUCAAGAACGAAAGUUAGGGGAUCGAAGAUGAUCAGAUACC
rnacentral:rRNA from 1 species